ACAUAUUUUAGAGCCUAAUUCAUUUAAAUAAAUAAUUAAAAUUACAUUCAAAUCCAAAUUCCUAAUUUUAAUUAAAAAAUUAAUCCUCAAAUAAAUUUAUUGUAACCCAUCUCUACUUCUAUAAGCUGCACCUUGAUCUGAUUUUUAACAUACUUAUAUAUUAAAAUUAUAUAUUUCAGAAAAUAAUUAACAACGACGAUAUACAAGCAAAAUAAAAGUUUUAUUAAUCGUGGAUUAUCGAUUACAGGACAGAUUCCCCUGAUUGGAAUAAAAAACCGCCAAAUUUUUUGAUUUUAAAGAACAUAACCAACAUUUAUCAGGUUUAAAUUUUUCCACGUCUAGAAUAAUGGGGUAUCUAAUCCCAGUCUAAUAUCCAGAUUUCUCAACCUCAUAAACAAAUAAUUAAUUUAAUAAAAAAUAAAAUUUCACCUAAUAUUUCCUAAAAUAAUAACAAAUUACUAUUAAUUAAAUAUAAAAAACCGAAAAAAAAAUAAUAGCAUUAUUUGUAUAACCGCA
rnacentral:rRNA from 1 species